UACGGAGGGUGCGAGCGUUGUCCGGAAUCAUUGGGCGUAAAGGGCGCGUAGGUGGCGGGACAAGCGUGCGGUGAAAGCUCGGGGCUCAACCCCGAGUCGGCCGUGCGAACUGUUUUGCUUGAGCACUGUAGAGGCAGGCGGAAUUCCGGGUGUAGCGGUGGAAUGCGUAGAGAUCCGGAAGAACACCGGUGGCGAAGGCGGCCUGCUGGGCAGUGACUGACACUGAGGCGCGACAGCGUGGGGAGCAAACAGGG
rnacentral:rRNA from 1 species